rnacentral:rRNA from 1 species
UGCCCUUUUGUGGUAAACAGCCGCUGUAUUUUGACGGUGCUAAGGUAGCGAAAUUCCUAGCCUUUUAAUUGGAGGCCUGCAUGAAUGGCUUGACGAGCGCCUGACUGUCUCUCUCUCGCAUGUAGUGAAAUUAGCUUUUGUGUGCAAAGACACAAAUAAUUGAGUAAGACGAAAAGACCCUGUGCAACUUUACUAAGAAAAGAGGGGUUACCUAUUUGUAGUUUAGCUGGGGCAGCUUAGGAAAAGAUAAAACUUCCUUGAAUUUGAUAUACUGGUAGGUUUGGAUCCGAUGUAGUUAUUGUGUAGAUCGAGUAGCAGAAAAGUUACGCCAGGGAUAACAGCGUUAUCCUUCUGUGGAGGUCUUAUCUGCAGGGGGGAUUGCGACCUCG